AACCCGAAUUGGUGAACUAUGCCUGCACAGAACGAAGCCAGGGGAAACUCUGGUGGAGG
rnacentral:rRNA from 1 species